rnacentral:rRNA from 1 species
AUUGAACGCUGGCGGCAUGCCUAACACAUGCAAGUCGAACGAAUGGCGGACGGGUGAGUAAUGUCUGGGAAACUGCCUGAUCGAGGGGGAUAACUACUGGAAAAGGUAGCUAAUACCGCAUACCAUCAGAUGUGCCCAGAUGGGAUUAGCUUGUCGGUGGGGUAACGGCUUACCAAGGCGACGAUCCCUAGCUGGUCUGAGAGGAUGACCAGCCACACUGGAACUGAGACACGGUCCAAACUCCUACGGGAGGCAGCAGUGGGGAAUAUUGGACAAUGGGCGAAAGCCUGACGGAGCCAUGCCGCGUGUAUGAAGAAGGCUUUCGGGUGGUAAAGUACUUUCAGCGGGGAGGCGUUACCCGCAGAAGAAGCACCGGCUAACUCCGUGCCAGCAGCCGCGGUAAUUC